UCAACAACGGAUCUCUUGGUUCUGGCAUCGAUGAAGAACGCAGCGAAAUGCGAUAAGUAAUGUGAAUUGCAGAAUUCAGUGAAUCAUCGAAUCUUUGAACGCACAUUGCGCCCGCCAGCAUUCUGGCGGGCAUGCCUGUUCGAGCGUCAUUUCAACCCUCAGCGCCCCCGGGCCUGGUGUUGGGGCGCUGCCUCCCCGGAGGCAGGCCCCCAAAUCGAUUGGCGAGCCCGCCGGUCUCCCGAGCGCAGUAGUCUACACCUCGCUCCGGGCGGACCGGCGCGGCCCGGCCGUUAAACCCCCAACUCCUAUGGUUGACCUCGGAUCAGGUAGGAAUACCCGCUGAACUUAAGCAUAUCAAUAAGCGGAGGAAAAGAAACCAACAGGGAUUGCCCCAGUAACGGCGAGUGAAGCGGCAACAGCUCAAAUUUGAAAUCUGGCCUCGGCCCGAGUUGUAAUUUGCAGAGGAUGCUUUUGGCGCGGCGCCCUCCGAGUUCCCUGGAACGGGACGCCACAGAGGGUGAGAGCCCCGUAUGGUCGGACGCCAAGCCUGUGCAAAGCUCCUUCGACGAGUCGAGUAGUUUGGGAAUGCUGCUCAAAAUGGGAGGUAAAUCUCUUCUAAAGCUAAAUACUGGCCAGAGACCGAUAGCGCACAAGUAGAGUGAUCGAAAGAUGAAAAGCACCUUGAAAAGGGGGUUAAACAGUACGUGAAAUUGUUGAAAGGGAAGGGCUCGUGACCAGACUUGUGCCAGGCGGCUCAUCCGGCGUUCUCGCCGGUGCACUCCGCCUGGCUCAGGCCAGCAUCGGUUCUUGCCGGGGGACAAGAGCGGCGGGAACGUGGCCCCCCUCGGGGGGUGUUAUAGCCCGCCGCACGAUGCCCUGGCGGGGACCGAGGUCUGCGCUCCGCAAGGAUGCUGGCGUAAUGGUCACCAACCACCCGUCUUGAAACACGGACCAAGGAGUCGUCCAUCAGAGCGAGCGUUUGGGUGUCAAACCCGCACGCGUAAUGAAAGUGAACGCAGGUGAGAGCUUCGGCGCAUCAUCGACCGAUCCUGAUGUACUCGGAUGGAUUUGAGUAAGAGUUUUGCUGGACGGACCCGAAAGACAGUGAACUAUGCUUGUAUAGGGUGAAGCCAGAGGAAACUCUGGUGGAGGCUCGCAGCGGUUCUGACGUGCAAAUCGAUCGUCAAAUAUGAGCAUGGGGGCGAAAGACUAAUCGA
rnacentral:rRNA from 1 species